CUGGUAGUCCACGCUGUAAACGAUGUCGAUUUGGAGGUUGUGCCCUUGAGGCGUGGCUUCCGGAGCUAACGCGUUAAAUCGACCGCCUGGGGAGUACGGCCGCAAGGUUAAAACUCAAAUGAAUUGACGGGGGCCCGCACAAGCGGUGGAGCAUGUGGUUUAAUUCGAUGCAACGCGAAGAACCUUACCUACUCUUGACAUCCAGAGAACUUAGCAGAGAUGCUUUGGUGCCUUCGGGAACUCUGAGACAGGUGCUGCAUGGCUGUCGUCAGCUCGUGUUGUGAAAUGUUGGGUUAAGUCCCGCAACGAGCGCAACCCUUAUCCUUUGUUGCCAGCGGUUCGGCCGGGAACUCAAAGGAGACUGCCAGUGAUAAACUGGAGGAAGGUGGGGAUGACGUCAAGUCAUCAUGGCCCUUACGAGUAGGGCUACACACGUGCUACAAUGGCAUAUACAAAGAGAAGCGACCUCGCGAGAGCAAGCGGACCUCAUAAAGUAUGUCGUAGUCCGGAUUGGAGUCUGCAACUCGACUCCAUGAAGUCGGAAUCGCUAGUAAUCGUAGAUCAGAAUGCUACGGUGAAUACGUUCCCGGGCCUUGUACACACCGCCCGUCACACCAUGGGAGUGGGUUGCAAAAGAAGUAGGUAGCUUAACCUUCGGGAGGGCGCUUACCACUUUGUGAUUCAUGACUGG
rnacentral:rRNA from 1 species